AUACGUAGGGUGCGAGCGUUAAUCGGAAUUACUGGGCGUAAGGCGUGCGCAGGCGGUUUUGGAAGUCUGAUGUGAAAGCCCCGGGCUUAACCUGGGGACGGCCUUUGAGACUGCACGAAUAGAGUACGUCCGGGGGGGGUGGAAUUCCAAGUGUAGCAGUGAAAUGCGUAGAGAUGUGGAGGAAUACCGAUGGCGAAGGCAGCCCCCUGGGAUGAUACUGACGCUCAUGCACGAAAGCGUGGGGAGCAAACAGGAUGAGAUACCCUGGUAGUCCACGCCCUAAACGAUGUCAAUUAGCUGUUGGGGGUUUGAAUCCUUGGUAGCGUAGCUAACGCGUGAAAUUGACCGCCUGGGGAGUACGGCCGCAAGGUUAA
rnacentral:rRNA from 1 species